rnacentral:tRNA from 1 species
GAAGCUGUAGCUCAGUGGUAGAGUGCCUGUCUUGAAGGCAUGAGAUCUAGGCUCAGUGCCCAGCACUUCA